GAGGGAUAAUCCACUUAACUGGAUAUUCUAGUGGGAGUAUUCCGCUCAUACAGCAGUGCAUGAUGGGAGGAAGGUCCAGGUUGUCAAGUUCCCCAUGUAGUCCCCUACUGUACAACCCCUGUAAUGUCAGUAGGGAAACCCCUUGCAUGGGGAAUCCCAUAAAUACGGUGACCUGUGAUUAAAAGCUCAGUUGACUCCCAGCCUAUGUGUCGUCUAGUUCUUGGGAAGGAAGGAUUUAUACAAUGCUACCGGGAUU